GCGAGCAUCACUUCCAAUUUGUUUUAGUAGCGUUUUCUUGCUACUUCAUGGAUCUUGGGUCUUCGGUUGUUGAGUUAUUUGCUUUAGCAUUUGGGCUUCUGACUUAGAGCUUUUGGAUUUGUAGGCAUUGAUGGUUGUCUUGAAGAAGAUGGUGAUGGGCUCUUCCCACCACCAGCAGCUACAGAGGAGGGGAAGUCUGUGGCUGACAAGGGCCCGCUGCCGCAACUGUGGUGGCAGAGAAGGUGGUGGUCGCGGUUAGGGCAGCCACAAGACGCCCAUCAUCUAGGUGUUGAGUGCAAGAAAUCACAUGCAAGCUGGAUUGUGUUAGACAAGAUUUGAAGCAUGAGAAGCGUUGUGGGAGAGAAGCUUCAGUGCAACAUUGUUGUUCUAUAGGGAUCAACGUCCUCAAGAUCACUUGGAAAACUUUCACGAAAAACUCGUAAUGCAAGCAUAUGUUUUAUUGGAAAAGUUUUCUAAGCUGAAUUUCUGAAAGCCUCCUCAAUGCUUUAGUUAUGUUGAAUUGGAAUUUGCAACUAGGGGUUUCUCACAAGUAAAUUUCUUAGCUAAAGGUGGAUUUUUGGUCUGUUCAUCGACAUGUCCUUUCUAAUGGUGGUGGUGUUUGUUAGCUACAAAAUCAUCAAUCAAAGAUUGUAAUUAUAUUGCAU